UAUGAACGCUGGCGGCGUGCCUAACACAUGCAAGUCGAACGGAGAUUACGGACGGAAGUUUUCGGAUGGAAGACUGUAAUUCUUAGUGGCGGACGGGUGAGUAACGCGUGGGCAACCUGCCCUAUACAGGGGGAUAGCAGCUGGAAACGGCUGGUAAGACCGCAUAAGUCGGCGAGACCGCAUGGUUUUGCCGGGAAAUGAGCAAUCAGGUAUAGGAUGGGCCCGCGUCCGAUUAGCCAGUUGGCAGGGUAAAAGCCUACCAAAGCAACGAUCGGUAGCCGGACUGAGAGGUCGGACGGCCACAUUGGGACUGAGACACGGCCCAAACUCCUACGGGAGGCAGCAGUGGGGGAUAUUGCACAAUGGAGGAAACUCUGAUGCAGCGACGCCGCGUGAGUGAAGAAGUAUUUCGGUAUGUAAAGCUCUAUCAGCAGGGAAGAUGAUGACGGUACCUGACUAAGAAGCCCCGGCUAACUACGUG
rnacentral:rRNA from 1 species